ACGGAAGGCAGCCGUAAGGAAUCUUGCACAAUGGGGGAAACCCUGAUGCAGCAACGCCGCGUGAUUGAUGAAGGCCUUCGGGUUGUGAAAAUCUGAUCUAAGGGAAGAAACAAAUGACGGUACCUUAGGAGAAAGCCCCGGCUAGCUACGUGCCAGCAGCCGCGGUAAUACGUAGGGGGCAAGCGUGAUCCGGAAUUAUUGGGCGUAAAGAGUGCGUAGGUGGUUACCUAAGCGCAAGGUUUAAUCUUGAGGCUUAACCUCAUUCUGCCUUGCGAACUGGGCUACUUGAGUGCAGGAGGGGAAAGCGGAAUUCCUAGUGUAGCGGUGAAAUGCGUAGAUAUUAGGAGGAACACCGGUGGCGAAGGCGGCUUACUGGACUGUAACUGACGCUGAGGCACGAAAGCGUGGGGAGCAAACAGGAUUAGAUACCCUGGUA
rnacentral:rRNA from 1 species